rnacentral:sRNA from 1 species
AAAGAAUUGUUUAAUCAGCCGUGAAUUGGGGACUUCAAACAUUUUAACCAUAUGCUGCCAGAUUGUUCAUCAUAAAAUUUCCUUCUCUCUCCCAGAAACCGGCGAGAGUUUGGCAAGCGAGUUCCUGUUCUCCGAUGUGUGUAGGGUGGAGAGUGGGGAGAACUGCUCCUCUCCUGCACCCAGAGAAGAGCUGGUCCCUGCAGAAGAGACGGAACAGGAUAAAGAGCACACAUGUGAGACGCUGCUGAUGUGCAUUGUCACUGUACUGAGUCACGGGCUGCGGAGCGGGGGUGGAGUAGGAGAUGUGCUCAGGAAGCCGUCCAAAGAGGAGCCCCUGUUUGCUGCUAGAGUUAUUUAUGACCUCUUGUUCUUCUUCAUGGUCAUCAUCAUUGUUCUUAACCUGAUUUUUGGGGUUAUCAUUGACACUUUUGCUGACCUGAGGAGUGAGAAGCAGAAGAAGGAAGAGAUCUUGAAGACCACGUGCUUUAUCUGUGGCUUGGAAAGAGACAAGUUUGACAACAAGACUGUCACCUUUGAAGAGCACAUCAAGGAAGAACACAACAUGUGGCACUAUCUGUGCUUCAUCGUCCUGGUGAAAGUAAAGGACUCCACCGAAUAUACUGGGCCUGAGAGUUAUGUGGCAGAAAUGAUC